AAAAAGAGAAGUUUGCACAGAUGGCCCAUGAAUGGAAAGCUGAGAAGGAUGACAAGACAUUUAAUGAACCUUCAAAGAGACAGUUGCAGAACCCAAUAUUCUCUGUAACAGCAAAGGGAACAAAUAAUCCACCUAUGUCCUGGUCCAGUGAUGAAGGAGUCUGUGAUGAAGUUUUCCAUUUUGUUAGUUUUUUGAGCCUGGCAGAUCUCCCCCCAAACUCUGAAC